ACGGGAGGCAGCAGUGAGGAAUAUUGGUCAAUGGACGAGAGUCUGAACCAGCCAAGUAGCGUGCAGGAUGACGGCCCUCCGGGUUGUAAACUGCUUUUAGUUGGGAAUAAAAAAGGCGACGUGUCGCCUAUUGUAUGUACCAUCAGAAAAAGGACCGGCUAAUUCCGUGCCAGCAGCCGCGGUAAUACGGAAGAUGCGAGCGUUAUCCGGAUUUAUUGGGUUUAAAGGGAGCGUAGGCGGGUCUUUAAGUCAGUGGUCAAAGCGUGUGGCUCAACCAUACCACGCCAUUGAUACUGGAGACCUUGAGUGCACAUAAGGAUGGUGGAAUUCGUCGUGUAGCGGUGAAAUGCUUAGAUAUGACGAAGAACUCCGAUUGCGAAGGCAGCUGUCCGGGGUGUAACUGACGCUAAUGCUCGAAAGUGCGGGUAUCAAACAGGAUUAGAUACCCUGGUA
rnacentral:rRNA from 1 species